GAUGAAGAACGCAGCGAAAUGCGAUAAGUAGUGUGAAUUGCAGAAUUCAGUGAAUCAUCGAAUCUUUGAACGCACAUUGCGCCCUUUGGUAUUCCUUAGGGCAUGCCUGUUCGAGCGUCAUUUAAACCUUCAAGCUCAGCUUGGUGUUGGGUGACUGUCCGCUUCACCGCGGACUCGCCUCAAAAUUAUUGGCGGCCGGUACAUUGGCUUCGAGCGCAGCAGAAACGCGAACUCGGGCCCGUCGUAUUGGCUCCCAGAAGCUAUCUUCACAAUUUUGACCUCGGAUCAGGUAGGGAUACCUGCUGAACUUAAGCAUAUCAAUAAGCGGAGGA
rnacentral:misc_RNA from 1 species